AGGAAGGACCAAAAUUUAGAACCUAGAGGACCAUCCCCAUGAACUGCGUAAUCUGUGCAUGGGUAGGUGUUGUUUGCAGACCUAAGUAGGUAGAUUAUGACCCAACCUUGACGUUCCACAUGGUUGGUUCAAGUCCAAACUGUUGUGCAGGCCAUGACUGUGUUGUAAUCGUUUACCUGUGGUGUGUAAACGAUUACACAGAGUGAAAUGCAGGAUUUGGACACAAUCCUGGCCAGGAAGGACCAAAAUUUUGAACCUAGAGCACCAUCCCCAUGAACUGCGUAAUUUGUGCAUGGGUAGGUGUUGUUUGCAGACCUAAGUAGGUAGAUUAUGACCCAACCUUGACGUUCCACAUGGUUGGUUCAAGUCCAAACUGUAGUCCAGCCCAUGAAUGUGUUGUAAUUGUUUACAUGUGGUGUGUAAACGAUUACACAGAGUGAAAUGCAGGAUUUGGACAUAAUCCUGGCCACGAGGGACCAAUAAU
rnacentral:lncRNA from 1 species